GAUAUCGACAUCAUCAAAAUCAUCUGUUUUUGUUAACGAAAAGAAAAUUGUGAACUGUUUUUGCAGUAGCUUUGGAGCAUUUUUUCUGGUUGAAGUGAUAUCUGAACCAUAUCGACUACGUAUAAUUCUAUGCUAACACUGAGUUGUCGUCGGAUGCAACAGUAAUUAGACAAUGGGCCGGGGGGAAUACUUUAUCUGCCUUUCGACACUGCCGCCAACGUCGGAACUGCAACGGAUGGUGAGGACAUCUGGCGCCCCAUCUGAUCUGUAUUUUCACAGCGUGGCCCAGACUUGCGUAUACUCCGAAAACCUGGCAGGAGGCAAAGGUGAUAUUCAAGCCCACCAAGACAAGUUAUACAAUACCUAAGGCCACAGAUCUAUAAGUAUUACGUCCUUUCUACUCAAAAGCAAGCAACGUAUUGUGGGCACCACGAUAAAGAGUAGGACAUCCAGCGAACUGCUCAAAUUCAAACAGCAUGCCUAUGUCAAGGGAAUGUCGGUGGCCACUGCCCUGCACGCGGUUUGGCAUAAAAUACAAGAAUCCUUCGAUCCAAGACGUACACAUUCGCGGUAUGCAUUGACAUCAAGCGGGCUUUUAACGAUGUGCGGACCGACACAUUGAUUCAAACGUUAGACCAGUACCGGGUGGAUCGGUCCUUAGAGACAGGGUAAACCAUUUGCUAAGGAACAGGUGGUUGAAUUGUGGGUCCCAUGACAUAAAUAUAAGGAUGAAAGUGGCACGGAUGGGCAUUUUAUCGCCACAUCCAUAUGCAAAUGUGGUUACAACAACGGUGGCUAUCAUAAAUGACCUAUUAACGAUGCUGACUGAUGAAGGACUUUAACCCGUCUGCUACGCGGACGAUGUUAUGAUACUUCUAAGGAGAAAGGAUCCGAACCAGCUAUGCAGAAGGACCGAAAGGGUCUUGCAGGUGGUAUACGUCUGGGCUAGGUUUAGGGGUCUCGAUGUUAACCCAAAGAAGACUGGAAUUCACUAAGAAGACGAAAGUGGGCUUAUUUGUUUAGAACGAUUUUGAUAUUUGACAAGGUCAAAUACUUAGGUUUGAUCUUGGAUAGGAAACUGAAAUGGAAGUGUCACAUUCAGGAAGGUACCGAGAAGGCUCACAGAAGUUGUGCACUAUGUAGACGGACCUAGGCUCAAAAUAGGGCUUGAAUCCGAGGAUAAUCCACUGGCUCUAACGGAGCGUGAUUACUUCAAUACUUACUUAUGCAUUUGGUGGUCUGCGAUGGAAAAAAAGUGCAACGUUAGGAUAAUACAA